AUUGAACGCUGGCGGCAGGCCUAACACAUGCAAGUCGAACGAGUGGCGGACGGGUGAGUAAUGUCUGGGAAACUGCCUGAUGGAGGGGGAUAACUACUGGAAACGGUAGCUAAUACCGCAUACCAUCGGAUGAGCCCAGAUGGGAUUAGCUAGUAGGUGGGGUAAUGGCUCACUUUGGCGACGAUCCCUAGCGGGUCCGAGAGGAUGACCAGCAACACUGGAACUGAGAAACGGUCCAGAUUCCUACGGGAGGCAGCAGUGGGGAAUAUUGGACAAUGGGGGCAAGCCUGAUGCAGCAAUGCCGCGUGUAUGAAGAAGGCCUUCGGGUUGUAAAGUACGUUCAGCGGGGAGGCGUUACCCGCAGAAGAAGCACCGGCUAACUCCGUGCCAGCAGCCGCGGUAAUAC
rnacentral:rRNA from 1 species